rnacentral:rRNA from 1 species
GACGAACGCUGGCGGCGUGCUUAACACAUGCAAGUCGAACGGAAAGGCCCUGCUUUUGUGUGGUGCUCGAGUGGCGAACGGGUGAGUAACACGUGAGUAACCUGCCCUUGACUUUGGGAUAACUUCAGGAAACUGGGGCUAAUACCGGAUAGGAGCUCCUGCUUCAUGGUGGGUGUUGGAAAGUUUCGGCGGUUGGGGAUGGACUCGCGGCUUAUCAGCUUGUUGGUGGGGUAGUGGCUUACCAAGGCUUUGACGGGUAGCCGGCCUGAGAGGGUGACCGGCCACAUUGGGACUGAGAUACGGCCCAGACUCCUACGGGAGGCAGCAGUGGGGAAUAUUGCACAAUGGGCGGAAGCCUGAUGCAGCAACGCCGCGUGCGGGAUGACGGCAUUCGGGUUGUAAACCGCUUUCGCCUGUGACGAAGCGUGAGUGACGGUAAUGGGUAAAGAAGCACCGGCUAACUACGUG